rnacentral:lncRNA from 13 species
AUAAAGAGUGAAGUAAAGUGAUCAUGACCCUGUUGCCUUUCAGGUUCCUGCUUGAUUUGUGAAAUAGCUCAAGAACAGAUGGCAUUCUCCAGAUCAUUCUGCAUAGUGAGAGGAUGAAGGCUCAGGAAACCAUGAAUAUUUUGCUGCUACUCACUUCUUGUUUUUUAGAGAUGAGGUGUGAGGUCUUGCUAUGUUACCCAAGUUUAACUCCAACUCUGGUGCUCAAGAGAUCUUCCCAUCUCAGCUUCUGAGGAAUCUCAGCUUCUGAGGAACUAAGACUACAGGCAGGAGCUACUGUGUCACAUUGAGAUUUAGUGAGUUUGAAUUAUUUGCCUAAGAUCGCAUUGUAGGGAAAUAAGAAUUUAUAAUCAUCUACAUAAUGUGAAAAUUCAUGUUUUUAGCUACUAAACAAUUUCAGCUUCAAGUAGUAAGGACCACAUAAGUGUUUGCAACCUUGUUACAGUUACAUAAGCCACUAAAUCUGCUUAUAUCUACAUUAGAGGAUUUCUGCAGGAAUUAGGUAGAUUACUGAGCCAUUGAAGUG